UGGGGAAUAUUGCACAAUGGGGGAAACCCUGAUGCAGCGACGCCGCGUGAGCGAAGAAGUAUCUCGGUAUGUAAAGCUCUAUCAGCAGGGAAGAAGAUGACGGUACCUGACUAAGAAGCACCGGCUAAAUACGUGCCAGCAGCCGCGGUAAUACGUAUGGUGCAAGCGUUAUCCGGAUUUACUGGGUGUAAAGGGAGCGUAGACGGAGAAGCAAGUCUGGAGUGAAAGCCCGGGGCUCAACCCCGGGACUGCUUUGGAAACUGUUUGUCUAGAGUGCCGGAGAGGUAAGCGGAAUUCCUAGUGUAGCGGUGAAAUGCGUAGAUAUUAGGAGGAACACCAGUGGCGAAGGCGGCUUACUGGACGGUAACUGACGUUGAGGCUCGAAAGCGUGGGGAGCAAACA
rnacentral:rRNA from 1 species